CUGCAGAGGGAUGGAGUUUCCCAUUAUGCAAUUUAUGUGGUGUGGCCGAGGUUAUUUAGCAUUAAGGCCCAGCUAGACAAACAAUGAAGUCUAAGCCUACUAGCAAGAGACUGUUGGUAUGGGAAAUUUCACUAGGAAAAAUAAAAAAGUAUAAAACUAUAACAACAGCUGAUCCACAAUUGCUCCUGAGGGAAGUUCAAGUUUCCAGAAGCUUGAUUAGAGAGGUCCAUAGUGUGACAAACAUAUCUCCAGACAACAAUCAACUGAUAAUCAAGGACCAAAGAGCAGAACACCAAAACAAAAUAUGACCUGGUCCAGCUACUUUUUCAACUAUCAGUUAGUUAUUUUUUCUUUAUGCAAGUUUUCAAAACUUCACCGUAGAAGUUCAAAACAAUUAACACACAAACACGCAAGAAGGAAGUCUUGGUCAGAACUGGAAUCCUUUCUACCCUUAACCCCUCAUUACACAGCCACUACCAAACCUCAGAGAUCCUCGCUGGCUGUAAAGCUACAUGAGGGAUCUGCCUGACCCAGUGCAGCAGGCACAGCACAGAACUGUUGAAUUUCCUACAGCACUACUAAAGAGAGCAAAAACCCAAGGAAUCAGCUAUCCUCCUGGUACUUGACCCCAGCUGUUAAUCACACUCCCACUGUGAAAUAUCUUCCAUGCUAAAAGCCAUAUGUGAAAUUGGAAAUCAACUCAAAUCAUUUGUUCUUUCCCUGCAAGUCAAAAUGCCUGCUGCAACCUGAGAUUUCUCCCUGUGAAAAUCAAGUCGCUCCUUAAUUCCUUUCUCUAGUAAAGUAAGGAGGUUAAGUUCAAGUCUCCCACUGCAUAUGUAUUCCAUCUCUCCUAUGCCACAUCUUCCCCUCUCAACACUCGUGUAAAAUAACUAGAGGUAGGUGCAAACUAUAGGUCUCCGUGAUGGGGAGUUAGAUUUGUAAUACCCCUUUUUGCUUAAAGUAUACUGGAAUGAGUUUAUUUCUGUUAAUUGUGUGCCCUACUUUCCUUCAGAACCAUUCUGUAAGUAUAGCCUGUAUGCAGUGGUUCAAGAUGCCCUUGUGUUGGACCUUACUAAUAGAAAAUAAUUCAUGAUUAUCUACCAUCCUGCUGGACUUUGUAAUACCCAAAAAUUUCAUCUAAAAAGAAAUACUCCCAUUAAAAAAAUAUACCAAUUAACCAGCUACUAGUAAUGACCAGUUAGUCAGACAUGCUUGAAUUACAUGCAACUGCAUUGAUAACCAGAAUGUAAGUGUGACCAAGAUGACUAAAAAAAAUGCACAUAGAUUAUAUUGAUCGAGCUGCAAAACUUAAUCCAUUAUUAAGGUGGCAGGGGGAAUUUAAAAAAAAACUAAUUCUGAUAAACUACUACUCCCCACAAAACUCCACCCACCAGCAUUAGGUGAUGAAUAACAAGCCUGUCUUGUGGUUGUUUGUUGUUUCUCCCCCACAAAGGAAUUCCUAAGUUUACUGAGCAUAAAGUUACAUCUGCCUUGCUUAAUGUGCUUCCUGCCACACUUCCAACCUUCUGCGUAUCAGCUACAUUAUUUGGAUUUGUUUAAAAUACAAGGACAUGGCCUGAGUUCUCUUCAGUAUUUCAUGUAGGUCUCACUCAAGUGCAAAUUAUCCAAAUCUACUAACUUCUGAACACUUACUCAAAAUAAACAGGACAUAACAUAACUUCUGUUCAAAAAAUAUGGCAUGAAGCACUUACGUUUAUAAUACUGCCCUAGUUAUGAAUAGAUUGUAAAAGUAUACCAUGACUUUCUCAGUUGCAGUUUCAACCUUCCUUUUCUUUAUGAUAGACUCAUAACAUCCUGACAGCAGAUCUGACUGCCCUGAUCAUUCCUACCUAUCUUACCUCUCCAAUGUUUCUGAGGUUCUCUCUGUUUCAAAGGCACAAAAAAGGAUUUUGUUCUUUCUCUGCCAGUCACAAGUAUCUCUUAAUAUAUUGUCUAUUUACUUUCUAAAGCUUUAUUUACAAAACAUCUGGUCCCUACUCUUGUAGAUUUCUGAUUUCUAGUUCCUGCUUUCAAUCCUCCUCAGACAGAACUCCUUUUAGUUUUUUUUUUUUUUUCCAGUCAUAUAUGUUGAAAAGCCACGUGGCAUUUGAAUCCCUCAUCUUCUCCCCACCUCCACUUUUUUAAGAAAUGUAUUUUGUGUAUAGAUUGUUUUGUCAUCCUUUUCUUCACAGGUCACUUUGAAUAAUUUUUUCUCUGCUUUCAGAAACAGUCUUCUGAGUUCCUUUAUAUCAAAUAUUAGCAAUCUCCCCUUGCUUACAGUUAAUUAAAUCAACGUUAAUCCAAAAGUGUCCUCCAGCUCUCUCUUGUAGAAUUCCUCCUAUGUUAUGGUUGAAAACAGUGCCCUCUCAUUUUCAGUGGAAUACAGUGUAUAUCAAAUAAAUAAGUAAUAAUAAGAAAAAAAUCAUACACCUCUAUCUUUAAGAAGAGCCAAUGAUGUUUUACAGCUGGUCAAGUGUUACUGCCAGCCUGCCUCACCUAGACUGGAGUCCAUUCCCCAUUGAGAUCUCCGACGUAAAAGUUACAGGCGUUCAUUAACAUCUCUUAUUUGUAAAUAUCCAAGGUGUCCCUCCUAAUACAACCCCGUGUAAUCUCCUCCCCUCCUGCCUCCUCAUCUUAGGAUUUCAGAGAACUUCAUGUCUGAUCAUAUCACCUCCAUAUUUCACAAGAGUCUCAACCUAGCUGCUAAUAGCCAGAACAAGACACAUUCCAAGAACGUACCAUGUCAAGAAAUAUCAUCACAUACACAACACAGACAUAGACUGUUCUUUUACUAGAUUAAACUCUGCCCUCAGAGGAAUGCAUGUAGUAACACUGAAGGUAACAGAGCCAACUCCAUUCUAUCAGUUAAAAGAAACACAUCAAACCAAACUAAAAACAGAAAACAAAAGAAAACCACCAAAAAAACAACCAGAAGGGAUUUCCUAGGUCACUGAUUCAGUACUACGAAUGACAUCUUUCAUCAAGCUCCACCUGAAAAGCAGUUGUUACUUCUGUCCUGUUCUCUAGUAUAAGAGCUGUCCAGAAUGUUCCUGUUCUGUGAACGAUACAGCCAGACAGGGAAGCUCAGAUGCCACACUUAGCAUGGCAAUCACUUCAAUGGCAAUCCAAGAUCUGAUUUGCAGCUAUGCCUUCCACAAUCCAGAGACAACUAUCAUUUUAUUUGUUUCUCCCAUCAUGCUGGUUGACACAACCGAGCUAAAAAGAAGCAUUAAUAACUUUAACAAGUAUGUAUCCCACCCUGGACCAGUGCUCCAGCGCUGAAGAGACCCUUUCCCAGUACUUUGACGACUGAUGCUCAAACCCUCUCACAGUGUAUCCAGAUCAGAAACAAAGAAAGAAGAUUGGUUGUUUCUCUUUGACAAAGUGCUUGCAAACCAUCAGUAAUAUCACAGAGAUCCCAGGCUGAUUUGUUAUAGAAAACCCUGAAGUGAAAGAGCCCUGGUAUAUCCACUGAUGAGAAUAUCUCAUUAUUUUUGUGAAGAAUGGAGCCACACUGUCCUCAGCCAAUGGAGAUCUGCAGUUCCCUUGGCAUCUUUCCAGCACUUACGUAAAUCUGCAUCCCUGUGAAUACAGCCUCUGGAAAGCUCAAAUGAGAGGAAUGGAGCAAAACAGGAGCAGCUCCAAGACAGAGUAGUGGGCUGGGAAACACACCUGGCAACAGAACCUGCUCUCUUCAGUGAAGCCCAACCAGCCUUGCUGAGACAAUUUGAGACAGCACUGCCACUGCUGCCCUGUCCCUCUACCAGCUAUGCCUGUCACAGCAAAAGUGCCAAAUCAGCUUUCAGUUACUGUCCAGUUUUAAGUGCCAAACAAGGCUGGUAUGAUAGGAUGAACAAGGCAGAUGUCAGAGAACAGAGGCUGCUCAGAGAGUUUUGCCAGCUCGUCACUGAGGUGAUCCUCUCCAGCAAAAAAAAUGGCAGACAGUUCAGGAGAGGGACCUGAACUGCCGUGAACAGUCACUGUCAACAGAGAGGGCUCACCAGAGUAGGAGACCACUGAGAUGACAACUAUUAAAAAAAGAGACAGUUAAGGGAGAAGGAAGGAAAUG